rnacentral:rRNA from 1 species
AAUGAACGUUGGCGGCGUGGAUUAGGCAUGCAAGUCGAGCGCGAACCGUAGUAAUACGGGGAGAGCGGCGAAAGGGAGAGGAAUACGUGGUUACCUACCCUCAGGUUCAGGAUAGCUAUGGGAAACUAUAGGUAAUACUGAAUAACAUCUCCGGAUCAAAGGUGUGAUUCCACCUGAGGAGGGGACCGCGUCCUAUUAGCUUGUUGGCGAGGUAACGGCUAACCAAGGCGAAGAUGGGUAUGGGAUGUGAGAGCAUAAUCCCACUCACUGGGACUGAGACACUGCCCAGACACCUACGGGUGGCUGCAGUCGAGAAUCUUCGGCAAUGGGGGAAACCCUGACCGAGCGACGCCGCGUGUGAGAUGAAGGCCUUCGGGUUGUAAAUCACUGUCAGAGGGGAGGAAAUGCUAGUGGGCUAUCCCAUUAGUUUGACCUAGCCUCAGAGGAAGGACGGGCUAAGUUCGUGCCAGCCGCCGCGGUAAUAC